AGUAAUGUCAUUGUCAUAAGUAUUUUGAAAUAGCACGAAAUUCAUUCACGGAAAACGGAAACAAUUUAUCAUGUUUGUUUCUCUGAAAAAAAAUCUAACCAACGAUUCAACUUUACUAAUUUUCACAUAAUAAAUCAUACAAAUGUUCUCCACAAGUACACAGAGAAAGUUUUGGACAUUUAGCGACGAGAACGAAUUGGCACGACUUCGUGAGAAACAUAAUUUACAGUACAUUUCAAAACAUGCAGCCCACAUCGACGAAUAUCAGCGGUACAACUUUUUCCUGUCCCCGGAGGAAGAAAGGCUUCUACUAAAGCAAUACGAGCUGCACCUGAAAGAGUUCUGCAAGCGAUUCAGUCCUCCUAUGCCGAAAGGGGUAGUGGGCACUGCAUUCCAUUAUUUCAAAAGAUUUUACCUUUACAACUCUUCAAUGGAUUACCACCCUAAAGAAAUAUUGGCCACGUGCGUCUACUUGGCUUGCAAAGUGGAGGAAUUUAAUGUGUCCAUAGGCCAAUUUGUGGCCAAUAUCAAAGGAGACAGAGAGAAGGCUUCGGACAUAAUUCUGAACAAUGAAUUACUUUUGAUGCAGCAGCUAAAUUAUCAUUUGACUAUACACAAUCCAUUCCGGCCUGUGGAAGGUUUCUUGAUUGACAUUAAAACGAGGUGUAGUCUUGCCAACCCUGAGCGCUUAAGAAGUGGAAUUGACGAGUUUCUGGAAAAAGUUUUUCUUACUGAUGCGUGUUUGCUUUAUGCGCCUUCUCAGAUAGCGUUAGCCGCGGUUCUUCAUGCAGCCAGCAAAGAGCAAGAGAACUUGGAUAGUUACGUAACUGACAUGCUGUUUAGAGAUGCAGGCGAAGAUAAAUUGGCUAUAUUGAUUGAAGCUGUGAGAAAAAUUCGGUCUAUGGUUAAGAUGGUAGAAAGUCCAGCUCGGGAAAGAGUAAGGGUUAUAGAAAAGAAGUUAGACAGAUGCAGGAAUCAGGAGAAUAAUCCAGACAGUGAGAUUUACAAACGGAGGAUGCGGGAGGCACUCGAUGAGGAUGAUAUGCCAUACGGUGGGUCGAGUCGGAUGUCUUUGGACACGAGUGGAGUCACACAAGUGUUGUCUCCAUCGGCAUCAUAGUCAUGAUCUUAUGAUUUUUAUUUUUCGUAUGAAAGGACUGAUAAAUGAUGAAAUGAGCUUUUGAGUUAUGUUACUAUUAACUCUGUCAACCCUAAAGAGGGAUAAACAAUGGUGACUUAUAUCGGACACAUAUGCCAAAUUGCCUAGCAAUCCUACCUUAGUAGCAGUUACGUACAUUAGUUAAAGUGCCAACCGAAAUUCGUAUGAUAAGAAAACUUGCACUAAGAGGCAUCUGGAUGUGUUAUCAUGUUCUUGUAAGGUUUCCUGGUUAUACCUGACUC